rnacentral:rRNA from 1 species
CACGGGGGAGCAAGCGUUGUUCGGAAUCACUGGGCGUAAAGGGCGUGUAGGCGGUCAGGUAAGUGGGAUGUGAAAUGCCCGGCUCACCCGGGGACCGGCAUCCCAUACUGCUUGGCUUGAGUACGGGAGAGGAUGUGGGAAUUCCUGGUGUAGCGGUGAAAUGCGUAGAUAUCAGGAGGAACACCGGUGGCGAAGGCGCACAUCUGGCCCGAUACUGACGCUGAGACGCGAAAGCGUGGGGAGCGAACAGG